rnacentral:rRNA from 1 species
GACGAACGCUGGCGGCGUGCCUAAUACAUGCAAGUCGAACGCUGAAGCGAGGAGCUUACUCUUCUUGGAUGAGUUGCGAACGGGUGAGUAACGCGUAGGUAACCUGCCUUGUAGCGGGGGAUAACUAUGGGAAACGAUAGCUAAUACCGCAUAAUAAUGGAUGACACAUGGCAUUUAUUUGAAAGGGGCCAUUGCUCCACUACAUGGUGGACCUGCUUGGUUUUAGCUAGUAGGUAAGGUAAUGGCUCACCAAGGGGACGAUACGUAGCCGACCUGAGAGGUGGUUGGCCCCCCUUGGAAUGGGACCAGGCCCAAGCUCCCUCCGGGAGGCGCCAGAGGGGAACGUUGGGCAAUGGGGGAAAGCCUGCCGGAGAAAGGCGGCGUGGGUGAUGAAGGUCUUGGGUUGGUAAAGCCCGUUUUUUGGGAAAAAACAGAUGUAGAGUGAAAAGUUCACGUUGUGACGGUACCUAAUCAGAAAGCAACGGCUAACUACGUG